UACAUUUCAUAAUACAAUGCACAAUGUGGUAUCUACAUGAUUACCCUUAUGCCGUAUAUGACACAAACAUUUAGUUUUUAAAAGUUGUGUAAACUGCGUUUUAAAUGUUGAUUUUACAGAAGUAAGUUGAUUUAGUGACAACGUUAGACAGCAAGACGCGUUUCGUUUAAACGGAGUAAUAGUUGGAGUGCCUUUAAGAAGAGGACAAACACUUGGUUGCUAUUUCUUUAACCGUUUUAUAAGGAAGUUAAAUUACACGAUUGCAAAUCGAAAGUCAAAAUGGCGUGUUGUAAUCAACAUGACGUAUGCAAUAGCAGUGAUGAAACUGCUAGCGAUAUUGAAAAUAGUAUUGCAGUGAAGUUCGAAGGCAGCUCGAUUUCGACUCUAGGAACAGGAAUGGAUGAGGAUAGUGUCGACUUAUUCCGAUGUCCAGUGCAUAAGGAAAACAAACUUGCAUUUUACUGUAAAACCCAUAAGCAAUCGUGUUGUGUGACAUGCGCAUUAUGUUCGCACAUGACUUGUUCCGACAUUCAUGACAUCAAUGAUGUAGUAGGGCAAGACAGAACCGUCAAGCAACACUGGAUUCAUUAUGAGACGAAGCUAUCGCUUGCUAAAGAAUUGCUCAAGCGGAUGCAAACAAAAGUGAAUGCAAUAAGGUUCCGUUUUCCUGAAGAACUAUUUUCACAGUUACGUAAUAAAACAGAUAAAAGGUCACAUGCUUGUCUGUAAAAACGCUGCUUGAAACAAAGCAAAACACACUCAGAUGCUAUCUUCAAUUUGUUUCCAAAAAUAGGCAUAAAUGCCUCUCAAAACAGCUAUGUCGAAAAAGCUAUUACAAUCGAUGCUUUACAAGACAUAGUUGAAGAAAAAAACACGUCAAAGACAAUCCUUAAAAUAUCGAACAAAAAAGCUGUGUAUCCAAUACAUCAGCAUCUUACCGCGAAAAACCAAUGUUACCACAAAGAUACAGAAGAAAGCAAGUAUGUCUGUGAUAGUGACGAAAUGCGCGACGGAAACGACAACAAUCGUAAUGAACAAAAUGGCAAAAAUGUCUGCGAUAAUCAUGAACACAAACCAGACCUUGGUGAUGAUGGCCAAGGUAAUGGAGAUGACAACGAUGAUGAACAAAAUGAUCCUGGAGACAAUGAUCACGAUGACGAGGGAGACAAUAGUGAGGAGGAAAACGAUGAUGAUGAUGAUGAUGAUGAUGAUGAUGGUGACCUUAAUGAAGAUAAUAUUAAUGACGACGAUGAAAAUGAGCCUACAAUUUCACUCUCGUCGUAUACAGUUGAUCUAAGUUAUUCGAUUUACAGACUUAAUCGCUGGAACGACUUUGCAGAUGGUUGUCCUCAAACAAUAGUGAACCUUAGAUUUGCAAACAAGGAUUUACGCAUGACAGGCGUGGACGCGUCGUUAUUAUUGCCAGCAUUGGAAUAUGCCACGAAAAUCUGGCUCUGUGGACUGAAAUGAAUUAAAUAGAGAACACACUAAUACCUCAUUUGGAGAAAACCAUUACUUGCGUUGCACAAAGGCCGCGGAAGUGGUCGAGUUCUAAAAGCAUCGGGUUUUCGAAGAUUGCGAUUGGAAUGAAAAAUACAGACGUCCUUUUUGAGAAUCCCAUUAUAAGUUCAUGCCACUACGUGUUGUGCAAAAGUUUCAAACAAACGAAGAAAUUAUAUCGUUUUUACCCAUUGCGGUAUCGUUAACUGGUUACAUAAUAGAACGAAAAAACAUAAUCGUUUCACCAGGAUUUUAAGUGAGAUGUUAAACUUGACGUUUUAUGUUGUUUUCAAUGUUUCACUGUUCAGAUAUAUGGAUGUAGAAAAUAAUUUACCGUAAAAUUUACUUCAAUGUGUAUGUUUGUUUUAAAUAUGUUUAACUAUAUCGUAUAACAAAUCAAUUAACUUAGUAGUUAUGUACUGUAAACAGUCACAAUACCUUGUAAAUAUAUCAUAACAGGGUUGCGUAUUAAUUGUUGAAAUAGUGGCUGAGUGAACUUCAUAAAUAACAUGGUAAAACAAGCCUAUUGCCAAGCAAUAUAUGUCCCCUACCGGCUCCACCAUUGUCAGAAUUUGUUUAUUUAUUAUUUAUUUGUUGUCAUAGCAACCCGAAUUUUUUACGUAGGAACAAAAUGAAAUGACGCGCAUAAUGUCCAUAUUGCCAUCUAUCCAUAUUUCAAGUUUCAUGAAAAAAAAUGAAGAACUUUACAAGUUAUCGCAGGAUUCAGAAAAGUUUGACAGACAGACAGAGAAACAGACAGACAGACGCACAGAGCGCAAACCAUAAGUCCCCUACGGUGAAACCGGUAGGGGACAAUAAAUAGUUUGUAAUUUGUAGAUAUGAAAGUAAAUGAUUUUUAUAUGAAAUUACUUCUGUGUUGAAUGAAAAUAAUGCGUGUACAUAUAGUAUGUGUGCACGUUGUUUGUUAAGAACAAUUGUUUAGAUGAUAUUUGUACUAAUAUACAUUGUUAUUGUUGAAGUGCUAUGCGUCCGCGAUUUUGCUUUUAAUUGUGUGAACCAGUAAAUUGAGUUAUUAUGCACGAGAUAACAAGCUAACACCUGAUUGUCAAGUUUAUAGAACAUUUAUACAGAAUAAGAAUUACAAAAUUCAUUCCAUUGAUAUCGUUCCAGAAGGGUUUUCUGUUGUUUUUGUCUUAAUGUUUUAAAAUUGCUAACUGUGACUGUCUGAUUGUUGCUUUAUAGAAUAACAAACAUCAUGAAAAACACGUUUAAAUUUAAAUGUAUUUGACCGUUGUAUUAACUGAAACUGUAUUAUUGUAAUUGGUAUUUGUUAGAAUGAAUCAUCAAUUUAUAAUGAUUUAAAUUUACCUAAACGUCUACUUAAUAUACAUGUACUGCUAAUACGUUCUGUAAAAUGACAUAAUGGCAAACUACAAGGUGUUGUAUGAGUUUUUACGUCAGUCAUUUGCAGUGCUCUUCGGCUUCAGAUAUGUCAUCAUAACUACAAUGUUGCAACACACACUGUUUUUUAAAUUAAACACGACCGUUUAUUAAGCAAUCCAGAAAUGAAUAGUUUCGUAUCUAAUGAAUUGAAGGUAAAUAACCACAAACAAUGCUAUUAUUUAUACUCUCGAGAAUAUGAAAACUUAGAGCCCAUGGAGUAUUUUCCAUACACCCCGAGUAAUUUCCAUACUACCCGAGUAAUCGUGUAGUCGGUUGAGAUAUAAUCGAUACACCGUUAGUAACUGACGGUGAAUGGGAUAUAGACCGUUCCAUAAUCGAUAAAUUGACCGCCGCCAUAUUGUCAGUCACGUGACUGUCCGCCAUUACACUGCUGCUAACUUGUGCGAGUCUGCGAUUCCAAAAGCCAAAGACAUAGAGAAUACCCGCUUCACCGUUGUCGGAUAAAUAAAUUACUUAAUGAAUUAAUGUGAGGCGAUUAUCACAUUUUUGUUGUUUAAAUGAUUGUUUUAAGUUGAGAUUGAUUGUUACAAAUAAAAUGUUUAAAAUGCU